rnacentral:misc_RNA from 1 species
CGCUCCCUGCCCAUCUUGUAUCCACUUCAGAGGGCCUCUUCCGCGUCACUGCGCUUCCCUCCAUCUACACAUAGCCGUUUUGUCCCUCGCCCAACUUCGCUUUCUCUCCUCCUUCCAGAAAACGAUGAUCCGAGACCAGUGCCACGCUUACUGUCGGUGCUCCUACUGCGCGCAGCAGCCACGGGAGAAGUCUUUCAACGCUGGCGCCUCGAUGUGGGCCACCAUGGAGGCGUUGGACCGCCCGGGGAUGUCGAAGGAUGAGCUCUAUAUGAAGAGCCUCCACCAAAGCCUUCGUGCCAAGGCGUUCUUGGACAGCUCCAAGAACGCUGGCAAGUUCAUCCCGGACGAGCAGCUCCUGAGCAGCACGAAGCGCCGUGAGGCGAAGGAGCUGGCGCUGGCUGCGGAGCUGGUGCCGGUGCGUCGCCGUGACCGCCUGCAGGAGCUGGUGUUGCUGGAGCACAAGGAACGCCUGCGUGAGGAGGCGGCCCUGCGUGCGGAGCGGCGUGCCCUUGGCCUGGCCGAGGAGGAGGAACCGGUCUCGGCAGUGCACUCCGACUCUCCAGCAUCGACGCGGCCGUCGUCGAAAGAAUCGAUGCAGCAGCGCCUCAGCAGCGGCGCCGCCACACCGGCCUCCCGCUGCUCUGCUGAGCAUGACCUCCACGUCAUGCUGAAGGGCAUCAGGGACAUUGUGGACGAGGACCCCGCCGCCUCCUCAGAUCCGCUGAGCCGCGAACAGGUGUUCAAGUUACGCCAACUGAUGCACACACAGAAGAAGAAGACACGAGAGAUGAUUGACAACUGUGAGAACCAGCCGCACGUUUGCGGCCACUGCCUGGACGUGAACGUGCAGGCGCGUCACCUCAGCGCCUCGCCGCACGGUUCCGUGGCGUACGGCUUGACUGGCAAGGUUAUCAACCCCGAGGAGGGCGUCAAGUUCGGUACCGACACGCAGCGCGACCCCAGCGGGCUUUUCAACGCGUCCACGGUGGAUCCCGCCAUGGUGUCUGGCAAAAAGAGCCGUCUGACCAGCUACAACGCCCACCCGUACGGAACCGGCAUGGUGUUCCUGCCGGUAUCGUCCCUGAACGGAGGUAGCGGAAGUGCCGUGGGCGGCCAAUCCACCCGCUUUCGCGCCAGCUUCAACAACAACAUUGGCAGCGGGGAGCCGGUGGAGGAGGAGCUGCAGUUCCCUGGGAGCACCUACAACGUCUACGAUACCGGCCUCGCGAAAGAGGCAACGCCGCAGGCCGUGGCAAAGGCCGACAAGGCCCAGCGCACCGUCAAGAUCGACACGGCUUCGUCCAACGAGAGCUCACAGUGCGGGGCAAACGAACCGAAGGCCACCGCGACUGCCGCGCCUGAGCAGCCGACCUACAGCUCCUCGGCUGCGAUGUGGAUGACGACGAACCAGGAUCGCGAGCUGGACAUGAAGCGCUUUAUGGAGUUCCAGCAGAAGCUGAAGGCGAACAGCAAGCGCGUGUAUGCGGAGACCGCCAGCCGUUCGGCCAAGGCGCUCUCUGCGUAAGAGGGUGCAUCCGACAUUGACGCGGCCACUCCUGUUAGACUCUGAGCGUAUCGAGUGUUCCCCAGCUGCUGCGGCGAGAGGGGCGUGCUGACGUAAAUAGGGGAAAACAAAGCAAAACAGAUGACGUGGCCUCGAGAGGGGCAUCUGUGCGUGCACAUGUAGACCCGAAUGGAUAAGAAGGUUGUAGUGAUGUUGGUAAUGAGCGGAUUUCUGGUGCGGUGCGGAUGAAUAAAAGCGGGUGUUUGCCAGACUGCCAGCCGACAGGUAUCCAGCACCCCCUCCACCGCUCUUCGCGCACACAGAUACACACACUCAGACAGACGAUCGGCCAAUCGGCGAGAUUUGUUGCCGCUUUUUCCCCUGUCUCUCUGGCGCGUGUCGGACGCUCUCUACUUCUUCUCCGACCACGGGGCACUGACACUGAAGCUCAUGCCAAAAUCAGCCUUCUGAGCAAAGACAUCGUCGCGGCUCCCUCGCACUCGUUUUCUUUUCUUGUGCUCUCGUUUGCCGCGGAUGCGCGACUCUCUCACUUCAUGGACUCACCCAUUCGUACUUGCCUUCUACGCCCCUAUGCUCUUCCCCUCCCUGUCAG